rnacentral:tRNA from 1 species
GCCCGAGUGGUGGAAUUGGUAGACACGCAGGACUUAAAAUCCUGUGCUCUUUGGAGCGUGUGGGUUCAAGUCCCACCUCGGGUA